rnacentral:lncRNA from 1 species
UUCACUGUAUGCACAUAUCAUACUUGUUUAUUCAUUCACCUUUUGAUGAAAACUGGGGUUGUUAGUUUUUUGGUUAUUAUGGACAUUUUUACAUAAGUCCUUUUAGGGUCAGAGGGACAUUUGUAUCAUUAAAUGCUGAAAUUAGAAAAGACGAGCUCAGUUUUGAAUAAGUUAAGUCAGAGGUACUUGUGGGACAUUCAUUCAGGUAGUGAGGUGCAGGACCAGUUGGAGUACAGUCUAAGGCACAGGAGGGAGAAGUGGGCUAGCAAUUUAGAUUUCUGUAGUCGCUGCCCAUUGUGUAGAGUUAAAGCCACGGGAAAGUCCUCAGUACAGCACAAAGCGGAGGACGAGAGAAAGCCCACGAAUUAAAUCCUGAGGAGUAUCGUAUUCGAAAAGAGGAGCCGUGUAAGGAAGCCAAGAGAAGCAUGGCCAUUUAUCUUUGAGUUUCCAUCACCCGGCACUGGACCCACCGCACAGUCAGUUCUCAAUUUGCUAAAUUUAAAAGAAUGGGCGCGAAGUACAUGGUUAUUGAUAGACCCUAUAGAAGGUGAAAGGUUGGGAGGAGAAAUGGCAUGAGUCGCGAAGGACAGAAUGAGCGUGGUAGAUUGAAGAGCGGGAGUGGUGCGGGUGAGCGCGACGGACUCCACUGUUGCUUAGGCGGGGUGGGGGACCGAGUCAUUAAUGUAGAGUAGGGAGGGUCAGACUAUGCAGGGCCUGAAACGGACGUCAGAUUGAAGAAUUUAGACUCCAACAGGCCGGCCACGCGGAGAGCCCGGUUCUGGAGUAGGGCCUAAGAACACGAGAUUUCCUUCUGGGAAGCGUACUCUGGCGGCGGCGCCCUGGUGGUGGCGGCGGAGGUGCUGCUGCUGCCUACACUGGCGACACUGCUGUUGUCAUCGGUGGUAGUGCUCUCCACUGGACUUAAGCUUUGUAGCCACUGAAAAGGAACAGUGCCGCCAGCUGCUGCUGACUUCAUGCCAUUCCCUGACCAAGUGCCCUAACUUUGCGUCUGAGCCUGGGCAGCAGAAGACAGGGGCGAUGGCAUCUAGCCGCAGCUGGGAGGCAGUGGUGCGCGCGCGGACGGGGC